UCUUAUCGUACUAGCGCACAUGCAUUACUUCGUCUGCCUAAGCAAAAUCAAAUGAAGAUCGACCACUGAACACAUAUACCAAGGUUUUUCAAAAUGAAUGUGAUUUAGUUUGCAGCCUUGAGAAAAUAACGUAGAUCUAACAUUGGUCAUUGGAAGCUGAACCUAUGCAAGGCGGGACAAUACGACGUCACACGGAUGCGAGACGUUGUGUGGUAUCAAGCUCGUGCCAGAAACGUCAACUUUUGACGCUUGUGGGUCAACGGAAUGAACGAUGUUGUGCCAGUGUUGGUGCUGUCAGAGUAUCUAGAGAUAAACAGGUCAACAUUCGAAGUGCUUUUAUGGCUGGCAUACUUUGUUCCUGCAAUAAAGGGGAUGCCAGAAGAAAUCGUUAAGCUGUGUGGCUUGAACAGCUGUGUCAAACCCGCCGUGGACUCUUGUUGCAUGCGGACGGAGGCUCUUGGGCACCCUCUUACCAGAACGCUGCCUGUCUGCUUACGCUCCAAGGUGCUUUAACGCUUGUCAGCUGGGGAAAUGAUCUUCUUGCGCAUGAAACGCCAAAUAUUUAUUCUCUGAACAAGACGUUACAGCACGGAAACGGAAUAUAUCAGGAACAAAAAACAUGUGGUAGUAUCGUCCGUCCAUCGUUAACAUGGAGUGGCUACGGCAAAAA